GUAGCUUCUCUGCCUUUUGGCCAAGAUCAAGAGUAGCAUCUACUGCUGGUUUAGCCUCUGGUACAUUUUCUAUUCAAGGACAACAUAUUAAAUGGCCUUUUGGAGCAGGAGAUGGAAUAGGAGCUUGCUCUGUCCACUCCACACAUAGACCCGGCAUUGCAGGACCUCCAGGAAUGCUGCGCCCCUU
ensembl:snRNA U2 U2 spliceosomal RNA